rnacentral:misc_RNA from 1 species
GCUUUGGCAAAUGGUGAGAAUGAGAAGAAUGCCAGCACUUCAGUCUUCCAAAAGAUUGAAGCUUUCGAGGAAGAACUGAAAGCCCAUUUGCCUAAACAAGUUGAGAGUGCAAGAGAGGCGCACGAGAGUGGGAAUCCAGCAGUUGCCAACAAGAUCAAAGAAUGCAGGUCUUACCCAUUGUACAAGUUUUGUGAGGGAGGAGUUAGGAACUGGGUUGCUCACUGGUGAGAAGGUCCGGGCACAUGGCGGUGAAAACCUUAUCAAAU